GGGUUCGAUUCCGGAGAGGGAGCCUGAGAAACGGCUACCNNNNNNAAGGAAGGCAGCAGGCGCGCAAAUCACCCAAUCCCAAUACGGGGAGGUAGUGACAAUAAAUAACAAUAUGGGGCUCUUACGGGUCUCGUAAUUGGAAUGAGUACAAUUUAAAUCUCUUAACGAGGAACAAUUGGAGGGCAAGUCUGGUGCCAGCAGCCGCGGUAAUUCCAGCUCCAAUAGCGUAUAUUAAAGUUGUUGCAGUUAAAAAGCUCGUAGUUGAAUUUCGGAGUUUGUCGGUUGGUCGGGCUUCACUGUCCGCACUGGCCUGAUGGAUUCCUACCUUCUGAAUAACCAGCAUGCUAUUAAGUUAGUGCGUUGGGGAAGCAGAGCUAUUACCUUGAAAAAUUAGAGUGCUUAAAGCAGGCUUUUGCUUGAAUAGAUUAGCAUGGAAUAAUAAAAUAGGACGGCAUGGUUCUAUUUUGUUGGUUUCUAGGAUCACCGUAAUGAUUAAUAGGGAUAGUUGGGGGCAUUAGUAUUCAAUUGUCAGAGGUGAAAUUCUUGGAUUUAUUGAAGACUAACUUCUGCGAAAGCAUUUGCCAAGGAUGUUUUCAUUAAUCAAGAACGAAAGUUAGGGGAUCGAAGACGAUCAGAUACCGUCGUAGUCUUAACCAUAAACUAUGCCGACUAGGGAUCGGACGAUGUUAAUUUUUUAAUGACUCGUUCGGCGCCUUACG
rnacentral:rRNA from 1 species